rnacentral:tRNA from 1 species
UGGGAUAGCUCAGUUGGUAGAGCAUGAGACUCUUAAUCUCAGGGUUGUGGGUUCGAGCCCCACAUUGGGCAAAA